UACGUAGGGUGCAAGCGUUGUCCGGAAUUAUUGGGCGUAAAGAGCUCGUAGGCGGUUUGUUGCGUCGGCUGUGAAAUCCCGAGGCUCAAUCUCGGGUCUGCAGUCGAUACGAGCAAACUAGAGUGUUGCAGGGGAGACUGGAAUUCCUGGUGUAGCGGUGAAAUGCGCAGAUAUCAGGAGGAACACCGAUGGCGAAGGCAGGUCUCUGGGCAUUAACUGACGCUGAGGAGCGAAAGCAUGGGGAGCGAACAGG
rnacentral:rRNA from 1 species